CCAGACUCCUACGGGAGGCAGCAGUGGGGGAUAUUGCACAAUGGGGGAAACCCUGAUGCAGCGACGCCGCGUGGGUGAAGAAGCGCCUCGGCGCGUAAAGCCCUGUCAGCAGGGAAGAAAAUGACGGUACCUGAAGAAGAAGCCCCGGCUAACUACGUGCCAGCAGCCGCGGUAAUACGUAGGUGGCAAGCGUUGUCCGGAUUUACUGGGUGUAAAGGGCGUGCAGCCGGAGAGACAAGUCAGAUGUGAAAUCCACGGGCUCAACCCGUGAACUGCAUUUGAAACUGUUUCCCUUGAGUGUCGGAGAGGUAAUCGGAAUUCCUUGUGUAGCGGUGAAAUGCGUGGAUAUCAGGAGGAACACCGGUGGCGAAGGCGGCCUGCUGGACUGCGACUGACGUUGAGGCCCGAAAGCGUGGGGAGCAAACAGGAUUAGAUACCCCUGUA
rnacentral:rRNA from 1 species